rnacentral:rRNA from 1 species
AUGGCUUCCACCACGUUCUCCUCCGCCUUCUCCAUCCUCUCUCUCCCCUCUUCCUCACCAUCCCCCUCCGCCUCGGCCCCCAGGACCCUCCCCGUCGCCAACCGCCGCCGCCGCGCCGUCGCCGUCGCCUCCACCGUCACUGAGUCCCCGAAGGUCCUUGAGCUCGGCGACGCCAUUGCCGGGCUCACCCUUGAGGAGGCUCGCAACCUUGUCGACCAUCUCCAAGAACGUCUUGGCGUCUCUGCCGCCUCCUUCGCUCCCGCUGCCGCGGUCGCGGCUCCCGCCGCGGCGGCGGCCGAGGAGGCACCGGUCGAGAAGACGGAGUUCGACGUGGUCAUCGAGGAGGUGCCCAGCAGCGCGCGUAUCGCAACCAUCAAGGUUGUGCGCGCACUGACCAACCUGGCGCUGAAGGAGGCCAAGGAUCUUAUCGAGGGGCUCCCAAAGAAGCUCAAGGAGGCAGUGAGCAAGGACGAGGCCGAGGAGGCCAAGAAGCAGCUCGAGGGAGUCGGCGCCAAGGUGUCCAUAGCGUGA